rnacentral:lncRNA from 1 species
CCUUGGUGACUGUAGUGUGCAAGAUUGUGUGCGGUUUGGUUUCUAAUCUUUCAUUUCUUUCCAACAUGAAAAAAUAACCUUCCUCAGGCAAGAAAAAAACAUUGUACUUGGGGAGUUGCCUUUGAUCAAAGAAAGGGGUAAUAGCUCUUUCCUGAAAAUGGUGACAAGAAUGAAAAAUGGAAAGAAAGAUCUAUUUUAACUAGAAGUAAUGAUUUUGGGGGAGGAAUAGGGAGAGUAUAUGUGAGGAAACAAGGAAGGAAACUGAGAGUAACAGUCACUGAUGCCAGUUUGUGAAAGGGAUGAGGCUGACCAACAUGCCUUGAGGCCAUAUCAGAAAAUUUUAGUUUUCAUAUAAAAUAUUUACAUUUCCAUCUUUUUUUCCUAUAUUAUGAGGGUAAUCAAAAGAAGAAUUUUGGCUUUGUACAGAAUUUUCCUACAUAUUGAUGAAGUAAAAAUGCCAAGUAUAUUCACAUUUUCAAGGUUUUACUGAGAAUAAAGUUUAUACCUAGAAAUGAUUUUAAUACAAGCAAUGGGCUAUCCUAGGAAAACAAAACGGAGAGAGAUGGUCUAACAGGAAUGAUGUAGCAGAAUUAACAUAAAUGCUGCUAUGCUUUGGUUCUGUGUCCCCACCCAUUAUCACGUGUUGAGGGAGGGAAGUGAUAGGAUUAUGGGGGGGUGGGUGGUUUCUCCCAUGCUGUUCUCGUGAUAGCGAGUCUCACGAAAUCUUUUGGUUUUAAAAGAGGCAGUUUUUUCCUGUGCUCCUACUUCCCUCUCUUCUGUCACCUUGUGAAGAAGGUGCCUGCUUCCUCUUCACCUUCCGCCAUGAUUGUCAGCUUCCUGAGGCCACCCCAGACAUGCAGAGCUGUCUGAAGUCUCAGUGGGCUCAACCAGCUCCCCUGUUCAACAUCCGGCAAGGUCCAAACGAAGGUGACAAUCAACAGGGAUCUUAUUGGGAAGCUCUGAUGGUGUCAGAAGUGGGAUCUGAAGUAGAGCCUUAACAAUCUCCAGGACUGCUGAGUGAACAAGCAAGGUACCUGCAAGGACCUACUUUUGUCCCUUGAUCUCUCAAAGUGGCUGGGGAUCAUGGUGAAGCCCCCUCAUGCAUAGUAAAGCAGAGAGGAAUGUAAAAGGUUGCUGCAUCGAUAAUCAAUUUCUGGUGAGCAAUAAUUAUAGGUAAUGUAAAAUGGGACAAUUAUUGCUUUUCAUCAUAUCUUGAAAGAACUCUUACAGUCCAUGAUUUUGAAAAAAAAAAUCUAAGUUCACUCUUUUUUUUUCUAUUAAAAAAAGACAUUAUCCUGUAGAAGUUCAAGAGUAAAAUCUGAAGGCAGCUUAUCUGACCUGGCCACAUGGUCUUGCCACUUGUUAAAUAUAACUUUCUACACACUAACUUCUCCAGACCUCAGAUCUUCAACUCUCUAAAAUGGAAACCUAGUAGUAUUUGUCUCUAGACCUGCAGCUGAACUGAGCAUUUUAGGGAAGGAACAAACAUACACACGAUAUAUAUAUAGUCAGAUUAUGAACCCAGUGUAGCCCAGAAUGCAAAAAUUUCUCAGUAACAGAGAUCCCCAAGAGAAAAAUGUGAUUUAGUUUAUCUCAGUGGCCUUUCAUGUGGCAAAUGAAAAGUUAAAGUCCAUAAUGAGAAAUAUAUGGGCAGCCAGUGACACCAUCCAUUCAAUGUAGACUCUCAACAUCUCCGACAGUCAUUCCCUGUUGUACCCCAACCUGCUUAUAUAUUGGGGUGAUAUCACCUUUUGAUCAUAACGUACAUAAACCUCAAGCCUCAGUAAUAAAUAUUUAUGGACAAUCAGAUAUUCUGUGUUUCCAGUCAAAACUCAGGUAGAUCACAUUUUAUGUGACAGGAGAAGGAACAGUUGAUGCCCAGUUAACCCUGAGAUCAUCUCUGUCUGCAUCUUCCUAUCAUCAUAGCAAGCUCUUUCUCUGCAGUCCACCGUCUGUAUCUGCCCUUUGCUAUAUAGAUAGCAAAAAUAAGCAUCUGAAAAGUUGCUCAACACCAUAUGUCACCAGGGAAUUCAAAUUAAAUCAAUGAUGAGAUACCACUACACAUCUAUUAGACUGGCUCAAAUCCAAACGCUGACACCAACAAAUGCUGAUGAGGAUAUGGAGCAACAGGAACUCUCAUUGAUUGCUGCUGGGAAUGUAAAAUGGUAAAGCCACUGUGGAAGGCAGUUUUGCAAAUUCCUGCAAAACUAAACAUAUGCUUACCAUAUGAUCUGGCAAUUGCAUUCUUUGGUAUAUACUCAAAUGACUUGAAAACUUAUACCCACUCAAAUUCUGCACAUGAAUGUUUAUAGCAGCUUAUACAUGACCAACAAAGAUUGGAAGUAACCAAGAUAUCCUACAAUAGGGAAAUGGAUAAACUAACUGUGAAGCAUUCAUACAAUGGAAUAUUCUUCAGGAAUAAAAAGAAAUGAACUACCAAGGCAUGACAAGACAUGGAGGAAUCUUAAACACGUAUUUCUAAGUGAAAGAAGCCAAUGAAAAAAGGCCACAUAGUGUAGAGUUCCAAUUAUAUGGAAUACUAGAAAAGGCAAAACUAGGCAGAUGGUAUUAUAAAAAGUUCAGUGGUUGCCAGGGGCUUGAGCAGAGGGAAGGAUGAAUAGGUGGAACACAGAAGAUUUUUAGGGCAGUGAAACUUUUCUGUGUGACCCUAUAGUGGUGGAUAUAUGUGCUUAAGCAUUUGUUGAAGCCCAUAAAUGGUAGAACACAAAGAGUGAAUCUUAAUGUAAGCCAUGAACUUAAUAAUAUCAAUAUUGGCUCAUCAAGCAUAACAAAUGUACCACACUAACAAGAUGAUAAUAGAAGAAGUGUGUGUACUGUGGUGUGAGGCAGAUAUUAAGCUCAAUAUGCCUUCUGCUCUAUUUUUCUGUACACCUACAACUGUUCUAAAAAUUUUCAAUUAUUUAUUUGUUAAUUAUUAUUUUCUAAUAUAUUUUUCGAGAUGGAGUCUCACUCUGUUGCCCAAGCUGGAAUGCAACAGCAUGAUCUUGGCUUACUGCAACCUCUGACUCCCAGCUUCAAGCGAUUCUGCUGCCUCAGUCUCCUGAGUAGCUGGAAUUACAGGCACCCGCUACCAUGCCCAGCUGACUUUUUGUAUUUUUAGUAGAGAUGGGGUUUCACCAUGUUAGCCAGGAUGGUCUUAAUCUGCUGACCUCAUGAUCCACCCACCUUGCCCUCUCAAAGUGCUUGGAUUACUGGUAUGAGCCAUCGCACCAGGUCUUAUUUAUCUUUUUGAGACAGGUUUUAGCUCUGUCACUCAGGCUGGAGUGCAGUGGUGCAAUCGUGGCUCAAUGCAGCCCCAGCCUCCAGGGCUCAAGUAGCCAUCCCACCUCAGCUUACUGAGUAGCUGGGACCACAAGCGUGUGCCACCAUACCUGGCACAUUUCUUAGACCUCUGAAAAGAUGCUCAACACCAUAUGUCACUAGGAAUAUUUAGUAUUCAACUAGAGGCUUCAAUGGGCUCUGAAAUAUCCCCUCCUGAACUCUAUAAAAAGCAUGUUUCCAACAAGCUGAAUGAAAACAAAGGUUUACAUCUGUAAGAUGAAUUCACACAUCAGAAAGCAUUUUCACCAAGAACUUUUCUAGUUUUAUAGCAGGAUGUUCAUUGUUUCAAUAUUGGUCUCAAUGGGCUCCAAAAUGUCCCUUUGUACAGUCUACAAAAAUUUUUGCCAAUGUACUGAAUCAAAACAAAUGUUUAACACUGUGAGAUGAAUUUUCACAUCACCAAACAUUUUUACAGAUAAUUUGUAUCUAGUUUUUAAUCACAAAACUUUGAAUUUUUCACUAUAAGCCUCAAAGGGCUCUAAAUUGUCCCCUCUUAGCUUCUACUAAAAGAGAGUUUUGAACCUACUGUGUAGAAACAAAAGUUUAACUAUGUGAAAUAAAUCCCCACAUUGCAAAGCUAUUUCUCAGAUAGCUUGCUUCUAGUUUUUAUCACGAAUUAUUCAGCUUUUCACUGUAGGCCUCAAUGGGCUCCGAAAUGUCCCUUCAUACAUUCUACAAAAAGAGUGUUUCCAACUUAGCUGAAUCAAAAGAAAUUUUAAACUGUAUGAGAUGAAACCGCAAAUUGCAAAGCAUUUUCACAUAUAGCUUCUAUAGUUUCUAUCGUAUAAUAUUCAGUUUUUCACUACAGGCCUCCAUGGGCUAUGAAAUGUCCCCUCAUAGGUUCUAUAAAAAGGUGUUUCCAACAUGCUGAAUGAAAACAAAGAUUUAACUUUGUGAGAUGAACCCACACAUCACAAACCAUUUUUAUAGAUAGAUUUUCUCUAGUUUUUAUUGUGGAAUAUUCAAUUUCAUGCUACAGGCCUCAAUUUGCUCCAAAACUUCCCCUUGUAGAUUCUACAAAAAGAAUAUUUCCAACCUGCUGAAUCAAAAGAAAUGUUCAAUUCUGUGAGAUGAUAUGCAAAGCUUUUUCACAGACAGCCUGUUUCUAGUUUUUAUCCUGGGGUAUUUGAUUUUUCACUGUAAGCAUCAAUGGGCUCUGAAAUGUCCCUUUGUAGAUUCUACAAAAAGAGUGUUUCCAACCUGUUGAAUCAAAACAAAGUUUUAACUUUGUGAGAUGAACCCACACAUCACAAAGCAUUUUCACCCACAGCUUGUUUCUAAUUUUUACCAUGGGUUAUUUGUUUUUCACUAAAUGCCUCAAUGGACUAUGAAUUGUUGCCUUGUAGAUUGAACAACCAAAGAGUUUCCAACCUGCUGAAGGAAAACACAGGUUUAACUUUGUAAGAUGAAUCUACCCAUUGCAAAGCAUUUUUACAGAUAGGUUGCUUUGAGUUUUUAUCAAGAGAUAUUUGAUUUUUCACUGUAUGCUUCAAUGGGUUAUGAAACUCCCCUUGUAGAUUCUACAAAAAAAGUUUCCAAACUGAUGAAUCAAAAGAAAAGUUCAACUUUUGAGAUGAAAUCACACAACACAAAGUAUUUUAAGAAAUAGCUUCUUUAUAGUAUUUAUCGCAGGCUAUUAGAUUUUCCAAUAUUAGCCUCAACAAGCUCUGAAAUGUCCCUUUGUAGAUUGCACAAAAUGAGUGUUUCCAACCUAUGGAAUAAAAAGGAAGGUUUAACUCUGUGAGAUAAAUCCAGGCAUCACAAAGCAUAUUCACAGAUGGCUUAUUUCUAAUUUUUGUUGUGGGAUAUUUGGUUUUUCAAUAAAGGCCUCAAGCACUCCGAAAUGUCCCUUUGUAGAUUAUAUAACAAGAGUGUUUUAUGGCUGCAUAGUAUUCCAUGGUGUAUAUGUGCCACAUUUUCUUAAUCCAGUCUAUCACUGUUGGAUAUUUGGGUUGGUUCCAUGUCUUUGCUAUUGUGAAUAGUGCCGCAAUAAAUAUACGUGUGCAUGUGUCUUUAUAGCAGCAUGAUUUAUAGUCCUUUGGGUAUAUACCCAGUUCAUGUCCUUUGUAGGGACAUGGAUGAAAUUGGAAAUCAUCAUUCUCGGUAAACUAUCACAAGAACAAAAAACCAAACACCGCAUAUUCUCAUUCAUAGGUAGGAAUUGAACAAUGAGAACACAUGGACACAGGAAGGGGAACAUCACACUCUGGGGAGUGUUGUGGGGUGGGGGGAGUGGGGAGAGAUAGCAUUGGGAGAUAUACCUAAUGCUAGAUGACGAGUUAGUGUGUGCAGCGCACCAGCAUGUCACAUGUAUACAUAUGUAACUAAACUGCACAUUGUGCACAUGUACCCUAAAACUUAAAGUAUAAUAAUAAUAAAAAAAGAGUGUUUUAAAAGUGCUG